rnacentral:rRNA from 1 species
CAAUAGCGUAUAUUAAAGUUGUUGCGGUUAAAAAGCUCGUAGUUGGAUUUCUGCUGAGAACGACCGGUCCGCCCUUUGGGUGUGUAUCUGGCUCUUUCUUGGCAUCUUCUUGGUGAACGUUGCUGCACUUGACUGUGUGGAGCGCUACCCAGGACUUUUACUUUGAGGAAAUUAGAGUGUUUCAAGCAGGCAUACGCCUUGAAUACAUUAGCAUGGAAUAAUAAGAUAGGACCUCGGUUCUAUUUUGUUGGUUUCUAGAGCUGAGGUAAUGAUUAAUAGGGAUAGUUGGGGGCAUUCGUAUUUAACUGUCAGAGGUGAAAUUCUUGGAUCUGUUAAAGACGGACUACUGCGAANGNAUUUGCNAAGGAUGUUUNCAUUG